UGGGGAAUAUUGGGGCAAUGGGGCGAAAGCCUGACCCAGCGACGCCGCGUGAGGGAAGAAGGUCUUCGGAUUGUAAACCUUAGUCAACAGGGAAGAAGAAAGUGACGGUACCUGUGGAGGAAGCCACGGCUAACUACGUGCCAGCAGCCGCGGUAAUACGUGGGGGGCGAGCGUUGUCCGGAAUUACUGGGCGUAAAGGGUGCGUAGGCGGUUGAUUAAGUUGGAUGUGAAAUACCCGGGCUUAACUUGGGGGGUGCAUUCAAGACUGGUCAACUAGAGUACAGGAGAGGGAAGCGGAAUUCCUAGUGUAGCGGUGAAAUGCGUAGAUAUUAGGAGGAACACCGGUGGCGAAGGCGGCUUUCUGGACUGACACUGACGCUGAGGCACGAAAGCGUGGGGAGCAAACAGGAUUAGAUACCCUGGUAGU
rnacentral:rRNA from 1 species